UACAGAGGUCUCGAGCAUUGUUCGGAUUCAUUGGGCGUAAAGGGCGCGUAGGCGGCGGGGUAAGUCUGGUGUGAAAUCUAGGAGCUCAACUCCUAAACUGCACUGGAUACUGCUCUGCUAGAGGACUGGAGAGGAGACUGGAAUUCACGGUGUAGCAGUGAAAUGCGUAGAUAUCGUGAGGAAGACCAGUGGCGAAGGCGGGUCUCUGGACAGUUCCUGACGCUGAGGCGCGAAGGCCAGGGGAGCAAACGGG
rnacentral:rRNA from 1 species